UGCUCAGUGGUUGAGUGGUUAUAGAGCAUGUCCCAUGGUGGCAUAUGCCCACGGCGUCGCUGGUUCGACUCCUGACCGAGCCG